UCAAGUUGUCUACUGCUCAAGGAAGAGUAGUAGCGGUCUGCAAUUCAGAAGUUCAAGCUGCUUCAGCUGCCAACAAAAAUGUGUCCAUUUCUUUCUUGGUGAAGGAUAUAAGCCUAAAAAGAACAUGGAAAGUUAUUACAGGAAAGACAAUGAAAUAAACGGAGAAAAUGAAAGUGAACCAAAUGGCCGUGUCGAUGAAAGUGGCUUUGAGAAUACACAUUAUGAAGGAAUAACCGAAGAUGUACCUACACAAUUACAACAUUGGAGGUGUGACUGACGACACUUACAGUGUUGGAGAAUGGGUUUUGGUAAAUUACGAUGGCAUCAAAUAUCCUGGUGAAAUAACCUCUAUAGUAUUUGAACAUGCUGUUGAAGUAUCUGUGAUGCAUCCAGCAGCUGGUGGGACUUACAAAUGGCCGACAUUGCCUGAUAGACUGCUUUAUAACUUGAAGGAUGUCGUGAAAAAGAUAAGCGGGCCAUGCCCAUCAGGCUCCAGAGCAGCCUUCUUUGUUUUCAAAGACUUGUGAAAAACUAUGUUAAAAUAUUUUGGCAAUGUUUCUUUUUUCCAUUAACAUGUUUUUAAAAGUAAUUUUUUUGUUUUUAAUAUAACAAAUAUGUUAUAGUCCUCUUGAUUAAAGUUUGUUGUGUGUUUUUCCAACUAUUGAACAAAUGAGUCUGUUAAAAUUUUGUGUCACAAUUUCAUUUCUUUACAUGUCAGAAUUUUUAAAAUGUAAUAUGCUGUACAUUUCUGCGUGAAUUGGUUUGUAUUAAAAAAUUGUAAAUAACAAAA